rnacentral:rRNA from 1 species
AACGAACGCUGGCGGCAGGCUUAACACAUGCAAGUCGAACGCUCGUAGCAAUACGGGAGCGGCAGACGGGUGAGUAACGCGUGGGAACGUGCCCAAAGGUACGGAAUAACUCCGGGAAACUGGAGCUAAUACCGUAUGUGCCCGAAAGGGGAAAGAUUUAUCGCCUUUGGAUCGGCCCGCGUCGGAUUAGCUAGUUGGUGGGGUAAUGGCCUACCAAGGCGACGAUCCGUAGCUGGUCUGAGAGGAUGAUCAGCCACACUGGGACUGAGACACGGCCCAGACUCCUACGGGAGGCAGCAGUGGGGAAUAUUGGACAAUGGGCGCAAGCCUGAUCCAGCCAUGCCGCGUGAGUGAUGAAGGCCUUAGGGUUGUAAAGCUCUUUCGCCAGGGACGAUAAUGACGGUACCUGGAUAAGAAGCCCCGGCUAACUUCGUGCCAGCCGCCGCCGUAA